rnacentral:lncRNA from 1 species
CAUAUAUCUUCUUUUUUUCCAAAGAAAAGCAAAGCAUGUCUGAUCCCGUAUAGAUACUUGCUAAUAAUGGUACAAUAGGAAAGGUAGCAUUUGAGCAACUUAAAUCCAAUUACUUACACAUAAGUAAAGACCACAAAGAAUUAGAUCUAUAUCAGGCCCAAAACGAAACUUAACAUCUGAAAGAAUAUCAACCUUAAACUUAUGCUUUCUUUAUAUUUUACUGUCUGUAUAGUUUCUUUUUGCUAUUGCAUGCAAGCCUUCCUUUUUGUAUGUAUUGGACCACCAUGACUUCUGAUGCCUGAUAUUUACAUUGUAUUUUUUUUUUCAUUCCAGAACAGCAAAAGUAAUUGUCCAGUAAUAUAAUGCUGUCGUCUUUGAUGAAUUUUUUAGUUUCUGAUUCUGCAAUAACUAGUGUCUAUUAUCUUCUUUUAUAGGUUUUAUAUUAUCUUGUUAGGGUUGAACCAUUCACUACCCUUGCUAUCCAACUGCAAGGUGGAAAAUUUGACCAUGCAGAUCGAAUGUUUUCUGAUAUUUCUGGUACUUGGAAUGGAGUUCUUGAGGACAUGAGUGAUGUGAAGGAAUUGGUAUGUAUAUUCUUUAUAAAAAAUUACUGGUUGAUAUGCCUUGGCUAGCUUCUUAAUAUUGUUAACAAGAUUUAAUGCUUUUAUUAAUAUUAAUUCUUAUCAUGGUUUUAUUUAACUUAUAUCAUAAUGAUUUUCCUCAUUUAUGCUUUUUUAGGUUCCUGAGCUAUUUUACCAACCUGAAGUUCUCACAAAUGAAAAUUCAAUUGAUUUUGGCACAACACAAUUGGGAGGAAAGCUUGGUAUAUUAAUUAAAAUUUUCUGCACUAGUUUGACUUUAUUGUAUACUCAAUGCAAAAUGCAAACCAUGGUUAAUAGCUCAUUUCUGCCAUUCCAGAUACUGUAAAACUUCCUGCUUGGGCUGAAAAUCCAAUUGAUUUUAUUCAUAAGCAUCGGAAGGCUUUGGAGAGUGAAUACGUAUCUUCUCAUUUACAUGAGUGGAUUGAUCUUAUAUUUGGGUAGGCUUCUAACUUCUUUCAGUUUCACCCCGUUUUUAGGGUGUUCAUUUGAUGUUUGCCCCUGCUCCAGACUGCUUCCUCCUAUCAUUUUAAUGUUUUCCUCUUUUUCAUAAGUUUGCUACACCACUAUUUUUAUAACUAUUUUUAUGAAAUAUGCAUUUUAUAAUAGUUCCUUUGUAUUGUACUUUUUGUUUCAUCAAUUAGUUGGACCAUGCAGGUAUAAACAACGGGGAAAAGAAGCCGUUGCAGCAAAUAAUGUUUUCUUUUAUAUUACCUAUGAAGGGACGGUGGACAUUGAUAAAAUCUCUGACCCAGUAUGUCUCCUUUUUUCUCCAUAUUUUCAACUCAAUUAUUUGUCCGAGUAAAAUGCCACCCCUCAGAAAGCUCAUUAAAAAAUGACACAUUUCUUCUUAGUUGAUAUUUGAUGAUUCCCUUCUUCACUAUAGUUAUACUAAAUUAUAUUUCAUGUAUGUAUCCUACUCCGAGUCAAUCAAUAAUGCAAAGCAAUCCAUGUUAUAAAUACAUGAUUCUCUUCUAGUUUCCCGGAUGAUCCAUCUAACCUUCGGUUUCCUCAUUUUAUUCACACACUCCAAAUAAAUGUUAAUAUUAGAAACAGUAAUUGCUAAUAAAAAGUAACUAUGAUAGAAUGGAACAGUCACAUUCAUUUUUGGUUCCUAGUAAUUCUUAAGGUCUAACAUAAUACUCAGUCGUGUUUGAUAUAGAUGGCAUAACUAAUUUGUUAAAUAAUAAGAAAGUAUCUUAUAGUAUCAUAAUUUUAUCAUAGAAUAUCUUAGAUUAUCUCAGGAUCGGUUUUCAUAUUUUUCCAUUACUAUUAAUUUGUUUCCCUAACUGAUUUGAAUGAGUUGUCUAUAAUUAGUAUAAACAAAGUUUGGUGCAUAGUUCUUUGAAUUAUCAUCAAACCAUGAUUAUGAUUCAAAGUAUUUAUUUGUUUCUCUUCUGUGCUUCUCUAUCUGAAGUCUGCCAUACCUUCAAUAUGGUAUCACAGCCGUACAAACCGUGACUUAUCCUAUCACUAUUAUGUUAUUCAGCUCUCUAAACUUUGAAACUCUAUCAUAAUAAUGUUGUUAUUCAUGAUGCUUAUCUUUUUCCAUGAUCCAUCUCCUUCUUUGGUUACCAGUCACCACUGUCGAUUUCUGAACUCCAUGAUUGUAUGUAUCUUACUGCACUCGAAACUUUUUUCUGGCCACCAUCAGCCACCACCAGAAAAAUAAUUGUGCAAGUCUAUUGACCGAAACCACCACCUUCUGGCAAUGUGGUGGGAUAUCUCUGUUUUCUCUACUUGUGUUUUCUUCCAUUUUCUUGGAUUAUGUACCUUUAUUAUUCACCCAACGCUUCCAACAAGUUGUUGCAUAAGAAAGCCAUUGCCUUACACCGUCACUACAAAUGCCAACUUUUUUCAGAACCAGAGCAACACAUAAUAUACCUUUAAGAUGAAAGAGUUGUGACACCUUGUAUAACAUGCGCCACAUGUCAACCGAUCGGACCGGCCGAAAUGGUCCGGGUUUUAAACCUAUGCCCAUACCCAUAGGAAGCAUCGGUUUCCAAGAAGUAUUUACUUGAGAGGUAUUCUCUCCUAAUUGAAGUAUGCAAAAAGUAGACUAAACUAUGCAUUUUAAGAAAUGUAUUUGAUCACAUUUAAUCAGUUCAAAUUCAAUAAAAAAGUAAGUCAAUUGCCUAAGUUUCUCUUAGAGUAAUAAAUUGAGUCAUUGUAAAUACAAAAAGUUAUAUUAAAUGUAGAGUAUUUUAGAGAUACUCUCAUUAAAGAGGAAAGAAGCAGUUCAUAUUUGCUUAUUUUUCCUUCCAAUAAAUAUUAAUUAUUUUUGCUUAUAAUUCAUUUCGAUGGGGGUAUACUCCAAGGAGUAGCACAGGCAGCAAUGAUGAUAGGGUUGGUGUUUGGAACAGACCCGUUAACUCCUGAGUCCAGCUUUGUUCCUAUUUUCUUAUGGAUGAAACUAAGCGAUUCAAUAUUAUUUUUGUUCUUUUAAAAGUGAAGGCAGAAAAUUUGAGGUGUUGAUUUUUUUCUCGGAAAACUAUCUUUCAAAUUAGAGCGGGGUUUGAUUGGAAUCUAUUUGAGAUAUUUGGUACUGCAGGCAUUUUCUUAUAAAGUCUUUAAUUAUCAUAUAAAGUCUUGAUAUUGUCAAGGACAACUAACCCAAAAGCUUAAACUGUUUGGUGAAGACACUAAUGAGUUUAUAUUGCAUCUCUUAGACAACCCUCAUGCCAGAGCCCGUAGGGCUUGAAACGCUCACAACGCAUAGGCUUGCCUUGCCUAUCUUCUGGAAAUUCAACUUUUUUUUAUCAAAAUAAUGGAAGAAGAAUCGGUCAAACUCUAGAUUAGGAUCAUAUGGGAUCUAAUACCAUGCAUUAACCAACUAUCUCAAAAUAUAAGCUAUUAGAUGAACAUACAUGACAAUAUUUUUAUGGAAAUAAUAUGCGGAAGCGUUUUGCAGCUGAAAUUUAUAUUAAAAUUGAAUUUUGGAAAACAUUUGCAAGGAACCUCCUUUAUUGAUGUUUUUUCCAUGUUUAUGUAACUGACUAUUUUCUUUUGUACAUGAUAAGUAAAGGUUCAGCAGCGUGCCACGCAAGAUCAAAUUGCAUAUUUUGGACAAACACCGUCCCAGCUUUUGACCGUUCCCCAUUUGAAGAAAAUGCCGUUGGCAGAAGUUCUGCAUUUGCAGGUAACUAUUGAUUCUUUUGGUUUGAAAGCUUUUAUUGAUAAAUUACAUUUUGAGUCUUGAGUUCUUGACGGAGCAUGCAUAUAUGCUCGAGUGUGCUCUCCUCCCUUCCCUUCUCUUCUCGUUUCAAAUAAACACCAAAUAUAUACAACACUAAAUGGAUUAUAUUCUCCCUAAAUAGAAGAUGCUUCCCUAAACUUUUCCUCAAGUUGGUGCAUAUAAAUCAUAUGCACCAAGCUUGUUACAAAUAAAGUGAAUAUAAGGACUUCAAAGAGACCUAGUGAGAAUAUAUUACUAGGGUUGACAAAACCCAAUGGCAAUUCCCUUGGAACUUUUUUCCUGUUAAUCUGAAUAGUGAAAUUUACAGUUUACAUUGUAUGGUUUAUGUUUUGUAGUCUCUACAGUUUACUGAAUUGUUUACAUAUUACUGUGUCUAGCUGAUACAUGUGACCAAGAAGUCAGUUUGUUAGUUAAAUUCUGACUUGCCAUUUCAAACUGCAAGUUAGUUAGAGCUUGUAACUAACUUUUAAGUACUACAUGUACUAUGUAAACCUUAGUUCACCACUUAAAGAUUCAUAAUUCGGAAUGUAACUUUUUAGAAACAUUUCCUUAGGAUGAGUUCCUCUCUCAAAUCCUCUCCAACAACUUUCGUUUAAUAUUUAAACCUAUUCGGUAAUCUAGAUGAACAAUUUUUGUAAAACAAUAUAAAUACUCAUCGUUACUAUUAAUUUUUAAAAGUGUUACCUGUUCAAUGGUAAAAUAUACGUGAAUACAAUAUGAAUUUGUCAUGAGAUGCCCUUCAGUUUCACAUCUGCUUCAUUGUUGAUGCAUAUGUUUCUUUUUAUAUCAGACAAUAUUCCGCAACCCAAAUGAAGUCAAGCCCUAUGUUGUUCCAUCACCUGAACGUUGCAAUCUUCCCGCGGCUUCCAUUCAUGCAUCUUCAGAUACGGUUGUGGUUGUUGAUAUGAAUGCACCAGCAGUGCGUGUUGCACAACAUAGGUGGCAACCCAAUACACCUGAUGGCCAUGGAACUCCUUUUCUUUUUCAACAUAGAAAGGUUACAGCAGGCUCUGCUGGUGGUACACUUAUGCGUAUGUUCAAAGCACCUGCUGCAUCGGGUGAAGAGUGGCGAUUCCCACAAGCUGUAGCAUUCUCUGCCUCUGGAAUUAGAAGCCAAGCUAUCGUUUCUAUUACAUGUGACAGAGAAAUUAUUACUGGUAAAUCUAAGAGAACUGAGUUUAUUUGCAUAUGAUGCCUUCAUAUUUACUUUAUGAAAAGAAGUCUUGUGAUUGGUUAAACUCUUGCUUGCAACAUUGAUAAAUAAUUGAUAACUAAUUAUCAAUUAUAUGGAAUCUCUCCUAGACGUGAACCAGCAGCAUAGGAUUUUCUAGACGCCUCCGUUGUAAUGUUUAUCUAAGUAGCAUUUGCUAUUGUUCUUAGUAUUUGUCAUGGAAAAAUAAAACAGAUAGAAAACUGGAUAUGCAAUUACUAGAAUAGCAAGGUACUAUGAAUUGGAUAGAAAUACCAUUGUCCUUCUACCCUUCUAAAUAUUUGUACUUCAAUACCAUAACAGAAGCAGCUGAUAAAACAACAGAGCAAUCAAUUCAAUUAUCUAUAUUCAGCUCAAUAAUGGAAGGAAUUCUAGACAUCUUCUCAAUCAUUAUUUAAUGAAGCUUUUCUUCAACACUGAAAUCAUAGGCAUAAUUGUCAUAUUUAAUAUCCUAAAUUAUUAUAAUCUAUAGGCACAGGAAAAGCAUUUUCUGUAUUGUAUGGGUAGCUCCUAAAGCUAAAUGUUGCAAAACUUGUGUUGAAAAUUUUGCGCCAAAUGAGUCCAUGUUAGCUUAUUCAAAUUAUCAACCAAAUAUUGAGAUUUUUUAAGUAUAUAUAUAGAUCAGAAGUAAAAUCCUGCCUAUGUUAGCUUUGCUAUGCAUAGCCAGCCGGUCCCAAACCCUGAUAAAAGAAGAGAGUUGUGUUAGGUUGUCGACAACAACAUAAAACUUGUUGAAUCUCUAUGACAUGGAUCAAAUACGUAAUGUGUUUGCUAGGUCGUUUUCCGUAAGCAAUGCGUUGUAUGACUUGAGUACAGUGUCAAAUGAGCAAAGGUCGCUGCAUCGCCGCUUGAAUGCAGUGAAAAAUAAGCAAGAGUUUCCAUAUUUUCGUGAAUGGGUGUGAGCUCCCACAUUCUCAAUUAUGUUGAUGGUGGUUUGGGUGGUCUAAGCUCGAUCCGACUUCCUUUUUGGGUGGAGCGUUGUUGAGUGGGUUCUUCUCCCGUGGCUCCUUUUCUCGUUAGCUAGCUCGUUGUUGCUUCCUUUCUUUGGCACUUCAUGUGACAUCUUAUCUUUGAUCUCUUGUAUGAUGGGUUUUUGUACCCCUCCUCUUUCUUAUUAUAUGUAAUACUUUACCUUAAAAAGAUCGUGAACACUAACCAGGUGCGGGUGAUAAAGUUAGGUCUUGAGAUUUGGAUUCUUUUUCGAACAUAGAAUAUCGGCACAUUUAUUGGGAAAUAUGUGGAAAUAAUCGGUAUUAUGUUUAGGAGGAAAGUCAAUUUUGUGUGCCUACAAGAAACUAAGUGGACAUGUGAAAGAGGAAAGAAUUAGAUAACUCAGGUGGUAAGACUAGACAAGAUAAGAUAAGAAAUGACAGCAUUAGAGAGCGUGUUAGGGUAACACCUAUAAAGAUGGUGAAAAAUAGACUUAGGUGGUUAGAGCAUGUAGAGAUGAGACCUAUAGAUUUCGUGGUAGAUGGAGAGAAGUCAAACAACUAGAAGUAGAGAAAGACUUGAAAAAAUUAUAGGAGAAAUUAUUUAGAAAGACCUCGAGAUUAACGAUUUGAAUAGACAUAUGGUCAUGGAUAGAAGAUUAUGACGGAAGUUGAUCCAUGUAGCCGACUCUACUUAGUGGGAUAAGAUUUGGUUGUUAUUGUAUUCACGGAAUACAUCCUAGAACUAGCACCAAGAUAUAUAUAUAUUUUUUAGAUGAUAUAGUCCUACUUAGACAAUCGGAGGAUUUAAAUGAGAGAUUGAAGACUUGAAGAUGAACCUUAGAAAUGUUUGGCUUUCGCCUAAGCAAAAGUAAGACGGAGUAUAUCGAAUGUAUGUUUAGCAAAAGAAGUUUUCUUAACCUAAAGGUGAAAGUUGGAGACUAUAACAUUCCACAAUUCAGUCGGUGUAAAUAUCUUGGGUCCAUCAUACAAAAUGAUGGAAAAAUAGAAGGAGAUGUAACCCAUUGAAUUCAAACUGGAUAGUUGAAAUAAAGGAGGGGUUCAAGGGUUUUAUGUGUGAAGAAAAUAUCGCUCAAGUUAAAGGAAAUUUUUAUGGAUAGAGGUAAGACUGCGAUGUUGUACGAGACCGAGUGUUGGACGGUUAAGAACCAAUACGAGAAUAAAGUAAGUAUAGUAGAGAUAAGGAUGUUGCGUUGGAUAUGCGAUAAAACUAUACGAUACAAGAUUAAAAAUGACAAUAAUAGAGAGAGUGUUAGGGUCACACCUAUAGUAUAAAAGAUGAUGGAAAAUAGACUUGAGUGAUUUGGGCAUGUAGAUAGAAAACAUGUAGAUUUUGUAUUAAGGAGAAUAGAUCAAACUAAGAGGUAGAGGAAGACCUAGAAAAAUUACAAGAGAAACUAUAAAGAAAGAUCUUGAGAUUAACGAAUUGGGUAGAAACAUGAUCUUUGAUAGAACUGUUAAGAAAUGUGGUUGGGCCUGACUCAACCCUACAAAACCGAGUGAGGACUUCCCCUACUUAUAAACACAUAUUCAAACCAUAUAUUAUCCGAUGUGGGACUCUUAACACACCCGUCACGUUCAGGACUAGACAACUGGAGCGUGGAAAUGAAUGAUAGGUGGUUCGAUAACGGAAACCAUAGUAGGUGGUCCACUGGAUCUUAAACGUGACUCUAAUACCAUGUUAAGAAAUGUGGUUGGGUCUAACUCAACCCUACAAAACCGGUUGGUAGAAUGAGGACUGCCCCCACUUAUAAACACAUGUUCAGACCAUAUAUUAUCCGAUGUGGGACUCUUAAGAAGAACAUUAUGGCGUAAUUUGAUCCAUGUAGCCGACUUCACUAAAUGAGAUAAGAUUUGAUUGUUCUUGUUGUAUAAGAAGCAUUAGUAAAUAAAUAAAAAAAUUCUAAAUCAGAACAAUUUGUUGCUUUGUUUAUAUUUAUUUUAUUUUCGGCCUUUACUAUAAUGUUUCAAAAUUGAUUGGUAUAGCAUUGCUAACUUGAAUUGCAAUACGUCCAAAGCCUUGGAUGUGUAUGAUUACUAAAAUAUUAUUGGGAAAUAGUUUUUUUUUUUUUUUAUAAAUUAUAUUUAUUCUGUCCUGUCAUCUGUUGCAUAGAAUUUUAGCAAUUUGCACUUCAUCUUGUAUUCUGAGCUGUGUGUUUGACAUAUAAUUUGAAGUAUUUACUUCUGAUUGAUUAGGCGGGCAUGCUGAUAAUAGCAUUAGGCUGAUAUCAUCAGAUGGAGCUAAGACCUUAGAAACAGCUUAUGGACAUUGUGCUCCUGUAACUUGCCUUGGUCUUUCACCUGAUAGUAACUACCUAGUCACAGGAUCCCGAGAUACAACAGUAUUACUCUGGAGAAUACAUAGGAUUCUCGUGUCUCACUCAAAUGUCGUAUCAGAACAUUCCACUGGGACAGACACACAAUCUCCAACCAGCAAUAGUUCAUCACACUUGAUUGAAAAGAAUCGGAAACGUCGAAUUGAGGGCCCUAUACAGGUACUUCGGGGGCACCGCAGUGAAAUAAUCAGUUGUUGUGUUAACUCAAAUCUCGGAAUAGUUGUUUCUUGCUCUCAUUCAUCAGAUGUCCUCUUGCACUCCAUUAGAAGAGGACGUUUAAUUAGAAGAUUGGAUGGUGUUUUCUUGCUCUCAUUCAUCAGAUGUCCUCUUGCACUCCAUUAGAAGAGGACGUUUAAUUAGAAGAUUGGAUGGUGUGGAGGCCCAUAUUGUCUGUCUUUCAUCUGAAGGGGUUGUAAUGACUUGGAAUGAAUCACAGCAUACUCUCAGUACCUUUACUCUCAACGGUACUCCAAUUGCAAGAGCACAAUUCUCCUUCUUUUGCAGUAUCAGCUGCAUGCAAAUUUCUGUUGAUGGGACAAGUGCUUUGAUCGGAGUUAAUUCUCUAGAAAAUGGUAGAACGUACAAUAACAGUUUAAAUUCACAGUUGAAUAAGUCAGGUGUUGAUUUUGAUUCAGAAUCAGAAGAAACUGACGAAAAUAACAGAACAGAUCUUCCAUCACCAUCAGUUUGCUUCCUGGAUAUGCACACUCUGGAGGUACAUGAUUAAGAUGUCAAAGAUAAAAUUACAAUUUUACAUUAAUCUCACAUUAAAUUACUCUAUUACAUUCAUCAUAUUUAUACACCUUGAAAAGGCAUUAUAUCAGGAAAAGCCAACAAUUUGCAACAUUAUUUCCUUUUCUACUGGGAGAAUCAUCAUAUAAGUGUUCUGCAGAUUUGAACUUUCAAAUACAAUAAUUGAAUUCUAAUUAAACAAGGCAAUUUUCUCAUGCCUUAUUAGUUAUUAGUCAACAUUUAGUCAAUAUUACCUUGUACUAUCAUCGUUAGCAAACUGUUCUUCAAUACUAAUCAUUCUUGCAUGCUAAUUAUUAUAGGUAUCUCAUGUAUUAAGACUGGGAGAAGGGCAGGAUAUCACAGCUUUAACUCUAAACCAGGAUAACACAAAUCUUUUGGUUUCAACUUUGGAUAAACAAUUGAUAAUCUUCACUGAUCCAUCUGUAAGUUAAAUCUUUCUUGUAUCUUUGUGAAAUAUCAAUGAAGUAUCUUUCUUGUGCAUGAAAGGUGUUGAGAUAUUAUAUUUAUGAUUAGUGUUGGUUAGGAUGUUGAGUUUUUAUACCUUGAUUUUAUAUUUAGUUUUCCUUUCUUAGUUGAUAAUUAGGGAUUGAUUAGGAGACUCGUGUAUUCAUAUAUUUUGUACAUUCCCCUCAAAAUACGCACAACAUAUUUCAGUCUCAAGUAUAUGCAUUUAAUGCUGUAACUUUUUUUCUUGCAGUUAAGCUUGAAAGUGGUGGAUCAAAUGCUCAAGCUUGGCUGGGAAGGUAAUGGGCUUCAGCCUCUUAUAAAAUCAUAGCUUUUAGGUUACACAUAUAUGGAUUACAGAUCAUGUAUACAUCAAUUAGGAAAGUUAGAUUGAGGUUGUGACACUCGUUUGUUAGCAGUUUGGCUGCGUCCUUAUGGUUCAGAAAUGUCAUGUGACACUUCCUAUUGUUACCACCAGUGUUAGGUUCAUAGAUUUAGUGGAGGGUUCUUUGCUCCUCCAGUUGUGUAAAAGUGUUGAUAUUGGUCAAGCUUCUUAGUUCCUUCUGAGGUUUGAGCCAUUUUUGUCCCACAAUUUUUUUUUUUAUAAGUUUGAGAAUGAAAAUAUAGUAGCUAUCUUUUUUCUUGUAAUGCUGCUGAUUUUCAGACGUUUAGACUUUAAAUGGAUUAGUUUGGCUGUGAUUUGAUUGAGUGUUCAGUAUAUUGUCAGUGUAAUUAAUAACUAAGUUAUACUGCUUUCUGUAAAGAGUUUUGUUGUUUUUAUUUCUCAUUUUCUCUAAUGAGAGCCAAUUCAUGAAAUAAACAUUGAUGUUGCUUCCGGUGAUAGACUCAGAUAGUCAAAUAUCAAAUUAUGUUGGCUCAAAACAGUUUGGUUUCGACUUUGUUUACGAUCGUUCG